ACGAGUUUGAUCAUGGCUCAGAUUGAACGCUGGGCGGAAUGCUUUACACAUGCAAGUCGGGCGGCAGCGCGAGGGCAACCCUGGCGGCGAGCGGCGAACGGGUGAGUAACACAUCGGAACGUACCCUGUCGGUGGGGGAUAACGAAUACGAAAGAUUCGCUAAUACCGCAUACCGACCUGGAGGGUAGAAAGGCGGGGGAUCGCAAGACCUCGCGCGAGAGGAGCGGCCGAUGGCGGAUUAGCUAGUUGGUGGGGUAAAGGCCCACCAAGGCGACGAUCCGUAGCGGGUCUGAGAGGACGGCCCGCCACACUGGGACUGAGACACGGCCCAGACUCCUACGGGAGGCAGCAGGUGGGGUAAUUUUGGACAAUGGGGGCAACCCUGAUCCAGCCAUUCCGCGUGAGUGAAGAAGGCCUUCGGGUUGUAAAGCUCUUUCGGCCGGGAAGAAAUCGCACAGGUUAAUACCCUGUGUGGAUGACGGUACCGGAAUAAGAAGCACCGGCUAACUACGUG
rnacentral:rRNA from 1 species